UGUACGUGCCAAAUAAUACGUGCAGUACACCUUCAUACGCUAUUGAUUAUUUCCUGUAAAUGAAGAAUUUUAAUAUAAUGUACAAAAUAUAUAAAAUUUAGCAUUAAAAUUGUCGCACAUAUAUUUAAAAAUUAAUUGGAUUAAAGAAUUUUUCAAAAUUUCUGAGAAUGUAAGGCCAACGUAAGAUUUUACACGGAACUAGUUUCCAUUUUCGCGCGUAAGACUACGUCAUAAAGACAGAGGAGGGGGUAUAGACAGCGGACUUCAGACGCGCAGCGUAGACUUCCCUUAGUCAUCUUACGACUGUGCUGUGAGGAGGGUGUUUUGCUCGGUGGUUUCAAAUCCUUUGUGUGCAGUUGUGUGAAUCUCUUCUGUAUUGUUCUACAACAAACAGGAGCCGGAUACAGUCUCACCGUUCGAGAUGGCAUUGGGACAAGCGGAGGGAGUUGGUGUUCGCAACGAUGCUGAAGCGUACUGCACGCUCGGGGACCCCAUGUUCUCCAGUCUCUGCGCCUUUCGUUGGCUUAGUUUAUAUAUUAUAUUGUAUGCAUUGGUUUGGUAAUAUACGUAAUAAUGAGCGUUCGAAGUAUGUUCGAAGAGUGUUUGAUCCGAUAUUUUUUAAUUUCAGAAAUAUAUACUUUGCAUGUCUUAUAUUUUAAAGAAAAUUUGUAUAGUACAUUUUAGCUUGUAGAUUUAGUAGUAUCGUUUCUAAUAUUCGCUCCAUUAUUCUGUACGUCAAGAUUUUGUAUAUUUGCUUAAUGUUGAUUAACAGUUUUGUAGACUUUAAGAAAUGAAAUGAAAUUAAUAAAAUUUGGAAAAUGUUUACAAUUUUUCUGCAAUCUUCUAGUUCAUAUUAAUGGCAAAAGUGCUUUUCUGCCCCGCAUACUACACAUAACAAAAUUCUGUCGCAGGCAAGAGACCCGUACAUGUACCCAGGCUGUUGGCCGUCAUCGGCAACAUUAUUUGGCCUGUCUGUGUAUGAGAUAAGGAGCGACGAGAGAGGAUUGGUACGGCAUAAGGAAGGGGGGAAAUGUGUUUCUUUUUAGAAAAUCGUGCAUGAAGUUUUCUGGCUGACGAAUGGGUUGCACCAUGAUCAAGUUGUACAUAAACGUCUCAUCUCUCCACACUUCCGUAUCUUGAACAUCCAAGCAUCAACUAAUUCGAAAAUCGUCUGACGCGCGAUACUCAUAGGCGUAUUGUGACGAACUACAGCUAAUUGUAGCAAAUCUUAUUUGGUGGGCUCUAAUACCUUUCGUACGUUAUCUGGGCAAAUGUGUUUUCUCAUGUCCGGGAAAGUUUUUUCAUAGCUUGUACCACCAGGUUGUAUGGGAGUUGUCGAAGCACACAAGACAAGCCUCCGGUGAAUAUCAAUAAGGAGAGACAGCGCUAGGGGUAAUGGCCCCCCCUAACGCCAAUUCAAUAGUCAGGAAAUAUUAGGACUGGCUAGAACUAGAGAACGCGUGAAGGGGGUGCAACUGAAGUUAAUUCAUAAGAGAAUCCUGGAGCACCUCUGUCAUACGCGUCGGGUGGUCAUCGUGGAGUUUUAGUCGGUAAGAGUCCGACACUACUCUGCUGUUACGCAAUUACUGCAACAGCGGAGUGUCCAUGAGGAUUUCUCCACGUAAAAAAAAAAAAAAAAAAAAAAAAAAGGUUGUAUGUUAGUUACUCUGGCUUAUCAAUAUGCCCUGUUCAAUGUUGGCCAAGCUGAAUAAUGUCACAGGCCUCUAUCUUCCUUAAUAAGAGCUGUAGGGGAUCGAAUAAUGAGACUACCAAUAUGUGUACUCGUUAGUGUAUUUAAAACAGAUCUUGUCGCGAAACGAUAUCUAUACAGACGUUUAGUCACAGUUUAUACUGAAUCGUUUGCGAUCACGUUCGUUUAGUCAUAAUCGUCAGAAGAAGGUCAAAAGAUACAAAUUCGUCUUGUUUUACGGUUACACGUAGCGGCGCCAUUGUUUUCCCCGGAGUUUAUAAUUCCUUACAAUUCCUCUCGAUAUUCCGAAGCAAAACAACAACAUGGUUUGAAGCAAAUUCUAACUCUUAUGCCGCUACAGAGCUUUUUGAGGUAUGGAUAAAUUGAAUGCAUCUUUGUUGAGUCUAGAUGGUCCAGAAUGGCGAACUACCGCAAGUAGAGCAACUAAUCGAAAUAAUAGACACGCACAUAUACGUAAUAUGUUUAACAUGGA